rnacentral:lncRNA from 1 species
GACGGUCGAAGCGGCGCUACGAGGGCGGCGGCGAUGGUGAAGGAAGGGAGGCCGCAGAUAGAGGGAGAAGAUGAAUAGGUACACUUUUUUUUCUUUUUCUUUUUUCUUUUCUUUUAUUUUUUUGAAUCUGAUAUGAUUCGGAUUAUCGGGCUCGACCCGCUCCGAUAACCCACAAUCGGUCCACGUGCGUGACUUAAGGGUCACGUGCACUUUCUUUUUUUUUCAACCCGACUGGAUUCAGGUUAGCGGGGAAUCCGCUCUGGUAACCUGCUUCUGGUCCGGCUCCUUCGUGGGGCUUUGAGGGGAAGGGUUUGCAGGUUGUUACCUAUUUUCAUGGAUCGUGGAGCGUGGUAGCGUCCAGGCAAAGGAUCGAGGGAGGCGACUAGAGGUGGUGUUGGAGUUCUUCCUCGACUCCGGAUGAAGGGCGACGGCAACGCGGGGUAGCAGGGCGGCAUCGGGUCACCUCGGGAUCGGGCAUGCUCGGCUUCUCAUGUCUGCUCGCCAACUUGUCUUCCUCAUGCGCCAUCGGAUGAAGGGGAACACAUAGGGGAAAGGGGUUUGUGUUUUUGGUUUGAAAGAUGAGCAGGGAUCCAUUUCUUGGCUUGGAGAGAAGAUACCUCAAAGACAACGUCCUUCGCGUCUCCCCAAGGAGGAUUCUGACCGAGGUCUGGAUCUCGCAUGAAGUUUGAACCCCCACGUGAAGGGCAAGACCCACGAUAGUCGAAGAUCUGGGGACUGGAGUAACAGCGGCCACAAGAUUGGGGAGCUUUGGCGACGGAGGCAAAUUUUUUGUCUUUGAUACCAAAGCUGAUGCAGGACAGCGGAAAAAGAGGGAGAAAGAGAGAAGAAGGAGAGGAGAGGGAAGAGAAAAGGAAGAAGAGAAGAAGAAAAAGAGGGGGAAAGAACUAGGCUUCACACCUAGCCCUAGCUCAAGGCUUUACACCAAGGCUAAAGAAGAGAAUCAAAAAUCUUUAUUCAUCAUAACAUAAUCCUAAACGAUGUACGGUCCCCAUAUUUAUAAACCCAAAAAAUGCAAAAGACCUCCUAAAAGAAACUAGCCUCACAAAAGACCUUCAAAAUAAGCCCUAAAAGCUAUCAAAUAACAAAAUACCCUAAUAAGCCUAAAUAACAUAAAAUCACUCCAAAAUAAAAUUAAUUUGGCUGGACCAUCCUCUUGUGGCAACUGUAGACUCGAAUGGCGGAUGAUCUGGUACUGGCGUCCGCACCAACUCUCUUCGGGUGGGAAGAAGUCGACCUCGUCAAAUGCGGCUCGAUAUAGCUCUGGUAGUACUCCAAUAGGUCUGGGUCAAGCGAUUGAAGCUCCUCUCGUGUGAGCUAAGUAGAAUCGGACGCUCCUCGUGGACGAACCAAGAAGCACGAGAUAUCUCCAUCACUGGUAAAAACUGGCCCGGCAAAGGGUGACGAUCAGAGUGCGGCAAGCCAGCUCGCCAAAUAGCUCGAAUCUAGUCUGAUCACAGCAACUCGGCCGGUCUGACUAGCCUACAAACUAGAAAGAGGCGAAGAAACAUGCCUGGAGGUUGUGGGCCUGCAGAUGAAGUAUUUUGGGGGCUCUAUGGGCCAAUGUGAUGGUUUAUCUGUCGGGCCCGCGGACUGCAGGAGGGAGGAAAGGACUGGAUGACUAGUGCAGUUGGGCUUGUGGAUUGGGCUUGGAAGUGGGCGGGCCUGAUGACCUGGCCCAUAAGAAGUGGAAGAUGAAGGAGG